rnacentral:rRNA from 1 species
UACGUAGGGUGCAAGCGUUAAUCGGAAUUACUGGGCGUAAAGCGUGCGCAGGCGGUUUGUUAGACAGAUGUGAAAUCCCCGGGCUUAACCUGGGAACUGCAUUUGUGACUGGCGAGCUAGAGUAUGGCAGAGGGGGGUAGAAUUCCACGUGUAGCAGUGAAAUGCGUAGAGAUGUGGAGGAAUACCGAUGGCGAAGGCAGCCCCCUGGGCCAAUACUGACGCUCAUGCACGAAAGCGUGGGGAGCAAACAGG